GCGGGUGUAGCUCAAUGGUAGAGCCCCAGCCUUCCAAGCUGGUUGCGCGGGUUCGAUUCCCGCUACCCGCUCCA
rnacentral:tRNA from 2 species